UAUACGACUCUCGGCAACGGAUAUCUCGGCUCUCACAUCGAUGAAGAACGUAGCGAAAUGCGAUACUUGGUGUGAAUUGCAGAAUCCCGUGAACCAUCGAGUCUUUGAACGCAAGUUGCGCCCGAGGCCUUUCGGUUGAGGGCACGCCUGCCUGGGCAUCACGC
rnacentral:rRNA from 1 species